rnacentral:rRNA from 1 species
AGCGAACGCUGGCGGCAGGCUUAACACAUGCAAGUCGAACGGUCCUUCGGGAUAGUGGCGGACGGGUGAGUAACACGUGGGAACGUGCCUUUAGGUUCGGAACAACACAGGGAAACUUGUGCUAAUACCGGAUGUGCCCUUCGGGGGAAAGAUUUAUCGCCUUUAGAGCGGCCCGCGUCUGAUUAGCUUGUUGGUGAGGUAAUGGCUCACCAAGGCGACGAUCAGUAGCUGGUCUGAGAGGAUGACCAGCCACAUUGGGACUGAGACACGGCCCAAACUCCUACGGGAGGCAGCAGUGGGGAAUCUUGCGCAAUGGGCGAAAGCCUGACGCAGCCAUGCCGCGUGAAUGAUGAAGGUCUUAGGAUUGUAAAAUUCUUUCACCGGGGACGAUAAUGACGGUACCCGGAGAAGAAGCCCCGGCUAACUUCGUGCCAGCCGCCGCGGUAA